rnacentral:rRNA from 1 species
ACAGCAGUCGCCGCGGGAAUACGUAGGGUGCGAGCGUUAAUCGGAAUUACUGGGCGUAAAGCGUGCGCAGGCGGUUUUGUAAGACAGGCGUGAAAUCCCCGGGCUCAACCUGGGAAUGGCGCUUGUGACUGCAAAGCUAGAGUGCGGCAGAGGGGGAUGGAAUUCCGCGUGUAGCAGUGAAAUGCGUAGAUAUGCGGAGGAACACCGAUGGCGAAGGCAGUCCCCUGGGCCUGCACUGACGCUCAUGCACGAAAGCGUGGGGAGCAAACAGGAUUAGAUACCCCCGUAGUCCCUGUCUCUUAUAC